rnacentral:rRNA from 1 species
GCUCAGGACGAACGCUGGCGGCGUGCUUAACACAUGCAAGUCGAACGAUGAAGCGGUGCUUGCACCGUGGAUUAGUGGCGAACGGGUGAGUAACACGUGAGUAACCUGCCCUUCACUCUGGGAUAACUCCGGGAAACCGGGGCUAAUACUGGAUACGACCCUCCCUCGCAUGGGGUGGGGGUGGAAAGCUUUUGUGGUGGAGGAUGGACUCGCGGCCUAUCAGCUUGUUGGUGAGGUAGUGGCUCACCAAGGCGACGACGGGUAGCCGGCCUGAGAGGGCGACCGGCCACACUGGGACUGAGACACGGCCCAGACUCCUACGGGAGGCAGCAGUGGGGAAUAUUGCACAAUGGGCGAAAGCCUGAUGCAGCGACGCCGCGUGAGGGAUGAAGGCCUUCGGGUUGUAAACCUCUUUCAGCUCUGAAGAAGCGAAAGUGACGGU